rnacentral:pre_miRNA from 1 species
UGUUGGUGAUUAAGCAAACGGUGAAGCACACAUGGAUGCCACACCUGACUUUUUUAUUUUUUGUUAAAUAUAUUUUUAAUCCCUAUAAAAUUAAGGUAUUUUAAGUUUUUAUUCCUUACAAAAAUAUUAUGCACUCAGUAUUAGUCCCUGCUCAAUUCAACUAUUAAAAUUAAACAAAUUUGAAUUGAGCAGAGACUAAUACUGAGUGCAUAGUAUUUUUGUAAUGACUAAAACAACUAUUAAAAUUAAGUAAGGACUAAACUUAAAAUGUCUCAAUUUUAUAGGGACUAAAAACAUAUUUAACCCAACAAAAAAAAGUCAGAUGUGGCAUCCACGUGUGCUUCACCGUUUGCUCAAUCAACAACG